AUGCACGUAUAAGUUCAGCUCAAGGAAAGCGAAACCGCGAAUGGCUCAGUAAAUCAGUCAUGAUUUAUUUGAUAGUUUUUUUACUUGGAUAACUGUGGUAACUCUAGAGCUAAUACAUGCUAUUCCUCACGUCCUAUCGUAAUGACUGGCAGGGGAGCUUUUAUUAGUUUCAAGUCCGUAAGCCUUUAGCCCCACCAACGGGGCUCUUGUGCUGGCUUGGUGAACUCUAGAUAACUGCAGGACCCAGCAAGCCUUUUUUGACUUGUGGGCGUGUCAUUCAAGUGUCUGCCCUAUCAAGUUUGGUUGGUAGUGUAACGGACUACCAAGCUGACGACGGGUAACGGGGAAUCAGGGUUCGAUUCCGGAGAGGGAGCCUGAGAAACGGCUACCACAUCUAAGGAAGGCAGCAGCCGCGCAAAUUACCCAAUCUCAGCACGAGGAGGUAGUGACGAAAAAUAACAAUACGGGGCCCAAGGGUCUCGUCAUUGGAUUGAGCAUAAUCUAAACACUUAUGCGAUAUCUAGUAGAGGGCAAGUCUGGUGCCAGCAGCCGCGGUAAUUCCAGCUCUACAAGCGUAUACUCAUGAUGCUGCGGUUAAAAAGCUCGUAGUUGGAUCUGAAGCAGGGGCCCAGUGCUCAUCGCAAGUGUGACAUUGGGUUUUUUAGCCCUGCUCCCCCUCCGUUUGACGGCAUUUGCACUUUACUGUGUGAGUGCUUGAUAUGGAGUUAGUACUUUGAAAAAAUUAGAGUGUUCAAAGCAGGUAUACUUGUAUACUGAAGCAUGGAAUAGUAGAGUAGGGCCGCGCCCUCAAACAACUGGUCUCUUGGCGUGCGGAAAUGAUUAAAAGGGACAGGCGGGGGCAUUCGUAUUGUCACGUUAGAGGUGAAAUUCUUGGAUCGUGACAAGACGGACUACUGCGAAAGCAUUUGCCAAGAAUGUUUUCAUUAAUCAAGAACGAAAGUUAGAGGAUUGAAGAGGAUCAGAUACCCUCGUAGUUCUAACCAUAAACUUUGCCAACUUGCUGUCAGCCGAUGUUGCUUAUGACACGGCUGGCGGCUACCGGGAAACCAAAGUGUUUGGGUUCCGGGGGAAGUAUGGUUGCAAAACUGAAACUUAAAGGAAUUGACGGAAGGGCACCACCAGGAGUGGAGCCUGCGGCUUAAUUUGACUCAACACGGGAAAACUCACCAGGUCCAGACAUAGUAAGGAUUGACAGACUGAAGCUCUCUCUUGAUUUUCUAUGGUUGGUGGUGCAUGGCCGUUCUUAGUUGGUGGAGCGAUUUGUCAGGUUAAUUCUGAUAACGAACGAGACCCCAACCUGCUAACUAGCGAGGUUAACAUUUGUUAACCGUAGCUUCUUAGAGGGACAGGGUUUUUUCAAGGAUCAGGAAGAGGGGUCAUAACAGGUCUGUGAUGCCCUUAGACGUCCUGGGCUGCACGCGCGCUACACUGGGUGCUACAGCAUGUAUGCCACCUGGUCCGAAAAGGUCCGGGCAAUCACCAAUAGCACCCGUGCUUGGGAUAGAUUUUUGUUAGUAUGAGUCUUGAACGAGGAAUUCCUAGUAAGCGCAAGUCAUUAGCUUGCGUUGAUUACGUCCCUGCCCUUUGUACACACCGCCCGUCGCUACUACCGAUUGGAUGUUUAAGCGAACAACUCUGACUCUGGAGCGUUUGCAGUUAUGCGGCGUGCCGGACGAUGUACCGUAAGCUUUGAUAUCUA
rnacentral:rRNA from 1 species